UAUGGUCGUUACCAAAACCCCAGUCAUCUUCUUGAAGGAGCCUUAGUAUAGGAAACCAGAGAGUCAAGACCCAGGUAAGCUGGCCCGUGAGGCGUGGUUCCCAUCGCCAGGAGACAACAGCCGCGCUGACCAGCUGCUGGCAAUUUCUUCGGUCACCCUGCCUCUCAACUUCCAAAGCCCCAUGGUUUUCGGGUUUACCCACAUAUGACCCUUAUGUAAAUUUGCUUGUCCCAAGAACCCUUAACUCAUA
ensembl:lncRNA novel transcript